rnacentral:rRNA from 1 species
GAAUNUACCGACUGCUCGCUNAUGUCAUCUAAUNGGNACGUUGAUCAUGGCUCAGCAUCUGAGACGCUGCNGACAGCCUAACACAUGCAAGUCGAGCGGAUGAGUGGAGCUUGCUCCAUGAUUCAGCGGCGGACGGGUGAGUAAUGCCUAGGAAUCUGCCUGGUAGUGGGGGACAACGUUUCGAAAGGAACGCUAAUACCGCAUACGUCCUACGGGAGAAAGCAGGGGACCUUAGGGCCUUGCGCUAUCAGAUGAGCCUAGGUCGGAUUAGCUAGUUGGUGGGGUAAAGGCCUACCAAGGCGACGAUCCGUAACUGGUCUGAGAGGAUGAUCAGUCACACUGGAACUGAGACACGGUCCAGACUCCUACGGGAGGCAGCAGUGGGGAAUAUUGGACAAUGGGCGAAAGCCUGAUCCAGCCAUGCCGCGUGUGUGAAGAAGGUCUUCGGAUUGUAAAGCACUUUAAGUUGGGAGGAAGGGCAGUAAGUUAAUACCUUGCUGUUUUGACGUUACCAACAGAAUAAGCACCGGCUAACUUCGUGCCAGCAGCC